CAGCAGCCACGGGAAAACGUAGGGCGCAAGCGUUAUCCGGAAUUAUUGGGCGUAAAGAGCUCGUAGGCGGUUUGUCGCGUCUGCCGUGAAAGUCCGGGGCUCAACCCCGGAUCUGCGGUGGGUACAGGCAGACUAGAGUGAUGUAGGGGAGACUGGAAUUCCUGGUGUAGCGGUGAAAUGCGCAGAUAUCAGGAGGAACACCGAUGGCGAAGGCAGGUCUCUGGGCAUUAACUGACGCUGAGGAGCGAAAGCAUGGGGAGCGAACAGGAUUAGAUACCCCUGUAGUCCCUGUCUCUUAUAC
rnacentral:rRNA from 1 species